CCUACGGGAGGCAGCAGUGGGGAAUAUUGCGCAAUGGGCGAAAGCCUGACGCAGCGACGCCGCGUGAGGGAUGAAGGUCUUCGGAUCGUAAACCUCUGUCAGCAGGGAAGAACGGUCACUGUGCUAAUCAGCAGUGAAUUGACGGUACCUGCAAAGGAAGCACCGGCUAACUCCGUGCCAGCAGCCGCGGUAAUACGGAGGGUGCGAGCGUUAAUCGGAAUUACUGGGCGUAAAGCGCUCGUAGGCGGUAUGUCAAGUCAAGGGUGAAAUCCCCGGGCUCAACGGGGGAACGGCCUUUGAAACUGGCAGACUGGAGUGUAGGAGAGGAUAGUGGAAUUCCAGGUGUAGGGGUGAAAUCCGUAGAUAUCUGGAGGAACAUCAGUGGCGAAGGCGACUAUCUGGCACGUAACUGACGCUGAGGAGCGAAAGCGUGGGUAGCAAACAGGAUUAGAUACCCGUGUAGUC
rnacentral:rRNA from 1 species